GCAUCUUUUCUCUCUCUCUCUCUCUCUCUCUCUCUCUCUCUGCCCUAGUUCCUGGUUUCGCAUCCAUGAAUUGCGAGGUGUGCCAGCUCAAGGAACUGGUGGUGGAACCAUUUGAAAUCCGUGAAGUAUUGCGUUGUAUACUUCAUACAAUUGUGUUUCACAGAGCUUUAGGCCUCGUUCGGCCAAAAGAUGUUGAUUCUGAACUCUUUGAAAUCACUUAUGUACAAUGUGGAGAUGCUGAGUUAGAAAAGAAAAUAGAAGAGAAAAUUGACCACUUCAUUGGCUGGGUGGACAAGCACCCAAACCGGAAAAGCCAGGUAUGCUUGUCUUUCUAUGAGGUUAAAAGCAAGCAGCCAACUUGGUUCAGUAACAAAAUCGAGCGCUUGCACUGGGAGGAGUGGUAUGUAAAUUUACAUGUGGUGAAUUCAAAGGGCCAUGGCAAAUUCCGUCAGAAUAAAGCAGCAGUUGAUCACGGAGAAAAUUCAGUGGAAGAAAGGAGUUCACGGCGUGCUGUCCUGGAAACCUCACUUCGAGAUGUUCUAUUCCAAAUCAUAAAAUUCGUCAAUGAGAGGAAAGAUCACAUCCCGCAAGUGUCAAAUUCCGAAGUUAUAUCAUUUCCAUAUGAGAUCACAAUUCCAAGGUUGAAUUGUAUUUUCCCAAUCAAGAACAAAUAGUCCCCUUGUGAUUUCACAUGCAUGAUGAUACUACCUCACCUGAGAUUUCUUCAGUUCGUCAGAUUCCUCCUUCGGAUGGCACACCGACAUGUUCAAAAGAAUGCUGCAGACUGGACAUCCCAACAUGCUUAGCUGACCUUAAUGAUCAUACCGAGAUUUGUGCAUAUUGCAGCUGAAUGCGGUGGAGAUCUAGUUAAUGAAACAACAAACUUAUUUCUCUUUGUACAUAACUCUGCAUAAUGCCCAUUGUAAAUAGUUUCAAGACUUGAUUUCAUGUCAAAUAUGACAGACAUGGGAUUUACUAAAGCUACGGAUGAUUUUACAUGAUGUUUAGCUGAUCA